GCCUGGGUGGCUCAAUGGCUGAGCAUCUGCCUUCAGCUCAGGUCAUGAUGCCAGGGUCCUGGGAUCAAGUCCCAUAUCAGGCG
rnacentral:tRNA from 1 species